GGAUACGAUUUAUCUGAUGUUGGAUUACAGGUUAAGAAGCGUAACCCGCUGAUCGUUUUCUCUCUGAAGAUAACAUCAUCAUAAAUGUUUGUUUUCAAUAACUUCGCAUGUGGUUGAAAGAGAAACAAAUAAGCCUAAUUGAAGACGUGAAGAGAUUAGUUGGAACGCGCAGAAUGGUUAGACGUCACAUGAUUUGAAGCAGUAUAUUAGACAAGCACCCGGGAGAGGUUCUAGAUGGAUAAACAAGCAUAAUCUUCAGAACAAGGAGUUUAAACACUAUACAGUUACAGGAAGAUGACAUUCUUUCGAAGAAGUGUAAAAGCAUGUAAAGUCUGCUUGCUUGUUAAAAGCGGAAGCCCUGCGAGGAUUCGUGGCUGGUUUGCUGAAAUUCCACCGUGAUAUGUUUAAUAACUCAACCUAGGCUUGGUUGGUAAACUUCCAUAAAUAAAAACUGAUCAAGGCAACUGACGACUCUGUCACCCCGAGU